CAGUAGCCGCGGGAAUACGUAGGGUGCGAGCGUUAAUCGGAAUUACUGGGCGUAAAGCGUGCGCAGGCGGUUCGUUAAGACAGAUGUGAAAUCCCCGGGCUUAACCUGGGAACUGCAUUUGUGACUGGCGAGCUAGAGUAUGGCAGAGGGGGGUAGAAUUCCACGUGUAGCAGUGAAAUGCGUAGAGAUGUGGAGGAACACCGAUGGCGAAGGCAAUCCCCUGGGCCUGCACUGACGCUCAUGCGCGAAAGCGUGGGGAGCAAACAGGAUUAGAUACCCCCGUAGUCCCUGUCUCUUAUAC
rnacentral:rRNA from 1 species